GAUGACGUCAAGUCAUCAUGCCCCUUAUGUCCAGGGCUUCACGCAUGCUACAAUGGCUGGUACAGAGAGUGGCGAGCCUGUGAGGGUGAGCGAAUCUCGGAAAGCCGGUCUCAGUUCGGAUUGGGGUCUGCAACUCGACCUCAUGAAGUCGGAGUCGCUAGUAAUCGCAGAUCAGCAACGCUGCGGUGAAUACGUUCCCGGGGCUUGUACA
rnacentral:rRNA from 1 species